rnacentral:tRNA from 3 species
GGGCGGUUAGCUCAGUGGUAGAGCGCCUGCCUUACAAGCAGGAUGUCACUGGUUCAAGUCCAGUACCGCCCA